CCGGCCGUGGCUGCGUACUUUACAUCCUGCAGAGUCAACAGACUCACCAUUUUGGGUUUACUGCUUAGAAGACACGUGGUGACUAUAUUUCUAUUCCAGUCACCCUUGGGUGCAAACCCUUGAAAUAAGCGAAUCAUACUACAUCUUAUAAUUGAAAAAAACUUAUAGGCAUUAUUACACCCUUAAUAUUUGCAAAAUAUCUCGA
rnacentral:lncRNA from 1 species